CGCGGCAGCACGGGGCGACCAGGCUCCCCAUGCUCACCUCGGCGUCUCCUUCCCGCGCAUCAAACUGGACGGCCUCGUGCCAGCCGCCGCGCCCGCUCCGGCCUCGGCGCCGGCAAGAGUGGCGGAGGUGGGCAUCCUGACGGUGGCGGACGCGAGAAGGUGUUGCGCAUCACGCAGAUGGAGGCGGCGCGCACGGGUGCGGGCGUGCCGCGUGGGUGCCGUGCCCUACGCCGAGUUCCUCAGGAUCUGCUGCGACGCCGCGGGGGCGGACGCCGGCCUCACCGUCGCGCGUGCUCGAUGAGUCCGGACCCAUCGUGCUCGGCAAGAUCGUCUAACGCAUGCCAGAGAUGGGGGCGCAGGUCAUGGAUACAGUCGGCAAUAGCCCAGAUGCACCGUCAACAGGCUCUACCUUAGGGAGUAGCUAGGAGGUUGACCUGAAGCCACACAUCACAUUUGCAAUUGCAAUUGCAAGACUGCUGAAUAAAGAGGAAGGACCAAAGAACCAUUUUUGAUCAGGAAGUGCCUCUACGUCAUGCACGUUUGGCUGUAAGUUUUGCAGCUAUCUUUUGUCCCAUAGCAUCCUUUGCUAUCUCUGAAUGGCCAAACAAUUUGAUUUUUCUGAAUAAUGGCCAAGUCGUUCGAGGGAGGAGAAACUGCUCGGCUCCACGGACGCCAGCGUGCGGCCAGCCAGGAAGAGGCGCCCUGUGCGUUCCCGUCGGAGAAAGAAUACCCCGGUCCUCUCGCCUGCAUCUACAACAUGCCGUUCACUGCUCGUCCCUCUUGCAACGCCUGACGCCCUUCCAUCUUCCUCCCCAGGUCGGCCGCUCUUGCAGCACACACACAUCCCCAAGGCAGGGAGAUGGCUCAUGCGGCCAUGGAUUUUUGUUUGCUUCACCAGAUGGACUUCUGCUUUAUCUUCCUUUUUUACUGCUUGAUGUUCAGUCCACGACCUGUUUCUGCUAAUGCUUGCUUGUGUGGAUUUCUGAACCUGUUCAUUAUGUAGCAAAGGCUUGUAAAUUUUUUUGUCUUCAGUCCUGAAUCUGUUCAUGUAUCUGAAUCUAGCAGUGCAAAUCUCCAAUCAACAUCGGAAUAGUCAGAGUUGUUAAUAAUAUGGAGCAUCAUGCUCCAUGUGUAUCUUUUUCUUGUCUUCAA